rnacentral:misc_RNA from 1 species
GAUGAAGAACGUAGCGAAAUGCGAUACGUAAUGUGAAUUGCAGAAUUCAGUGAAUCAUCGAGUCUUUGAACGCACAUUGCGCCCCCUGGUAUUCCGGGGGGCAUGCCUGUCCGAGCGUCAUUGCUGCCCUCAAGCACGGCUUGUGUGUUGGGCCUCCGUCCUCCUCCCGGGGGACGGGCCCGAAAGGCAGCGGCGGCACCGCGUCCGGUCCUCGAGCGUAUGGGGCUUCGUCACCCGCUCUUGUAGGCCCGGCCGGCCCUUGCCGACACAUCAAUCUUUUUUCCAGGUUGACCUCGGAUCAGGUAGGGAUACCCGCUGAACUUAAGCAUAUCAAUAAGCGGAGGA